GUCAUUUUGUUGUUAAUUUUUGUUAUUAAUACAUUUGUAUUGUUAGUUACAUUUGCUUGUAUUAUUAUUAAUUCCACACUUUCCUCUAUGCACUCUGGUUCUAUUUCCCCAAGCCCUGAAGGGUAGUUCUUGGGCCCCCAUAACCUGUAAAACCUUGGCCCAUAAUUGUAUGGCCCCAUCUUUCAGGUCCCCAGAAACCUCUGAGAACAACUGUUAAAAAUAGGGAAUUCUACAACAUUUUAGCAACUGAAUGUUAGUUUAAGUCCAAAUCAGCUUAACCUUGCAUAACAACUGUGAUACUCCUACAAAAUCUUAUUUGUUGUGUGUGCUUAAGGAGGUCCUGACCUCAGUGACUUUUUUUGUUUGAUGGCUAUUGCAGCAUCAAACUUGGGCCUCAUUUUGUUUGUCAAUGUACCCAAUUAUUGUAAUGGUAAUGGUCUUGUUGUAUUUCCAAUUAUUAUAAUUAUAAUUGUUUGCAUUUGUGUUUAUGUUAUAUCUGGUGUUUAGUCAAUUGUAAUGGUUUUAGUUAUAUUCACCUGGUUAUAAUUGUUUGGUUUGUUUGCAACAAAUACAAAAGAUUUAUAUGGUGACCACUCAAGAAUUGUUCUUGAGAGGUCAAAAGGGGGACAAUGUAGAUCAAUCUCUGAUAAUUUUCAUAUAACUUUACAUUGUGCCUCUUCAUAUAACCUUGUGGUGGGUCUACCCACGUGUAACCUCUGUUUUCAUGGGACUUUGUAUCAAAGCCUCAUUUAGAAACUUUGCAUUGCCCUUGGUAUAAUAUUAUAGCCCCUAAGGAUAGAAUAAGAGAGAAGAAAAAUUUCUUUUUGCUAGCAGUAGAACAAGAGCUCCCCCCCCCCCC